rnacentral:rRNA from 1 species
GGUGUGACUGCGUACCUUUUGUAUAAUGGGUCAGCGACUUAUAUUCUGUAGCAAGGUUAACCGUAUAGGGGAGCCGCAGGGAAACCGAGUCUUAACUGGGCGUUAAGUUGCAGGGUAUAGACCCGAAACCCGGUGAUCUAGCCAUGGGCAGGUUGAAGGUUGGGUAACACUAACUGGAGGACCGAACCGACUAAUGUUGAAAAAUUAGCGGAUGACUUGUGGCUGGGGGUGAAAGGCCAAUCAAACCGGGAGAUAGCUGGUUCUCCCCGAAAGCUAUUUAGGUAGCGCCUCGUGAAUUCAUCUUCGGGGGUAGAGCACUGUUUCGGCUAGGGGGUCAUCCCGACUUACCAACCCGAUGCAAACUACGAAUACCGAAGAAUGUUAUCACGGGAGACACACGGCGGGUGCUAACGUCCGUCGUGAAGAGGGAAACAACCCAGACCGCCAGCUAAGGUCCCAAAGUCAUGGUUAAGUGGGAAACGAUGUGGGAAGGCACAGACAGCCAGGAUGUUGGCUUAGAAGCAGCCAUCAUUUAAAGAAAGCGUAAUAGCUCACUGGUCGAGUCGGCCUGCGCGGAAGAUGUAACGGGGCUAAACCAUGCACCGAAGCUGCGGCAGCGACACUAUGUGUUGUUGGGUAGGGGAGCGUUCUGUAAGCCUGCGAAGGUGACCUGUGAGGGUUGCUGGAGGUAUCAGAAGUGCGAAUGCUGACAUAAGUAACGAUAAAGCGGGUGAAAAGCCCGCUCGCCGGAAGACCAAGGGUUCCUGUCCAACGUUAAUCGGGGCAGGGUGAGUCGACCCCUAAGGCGAGGCCGAAAGGCGUAGUCGAUGGGAAACAGGUUAAUAUUCCUGUACUUGGUGUUACUGCGAAGGGGGGACGGAGAAGGCUAUGUUAGCCGGGCGACGGUUGUCCCGGUUUAAGCAUGUAGGCUGGUUGUCCAGGCAAAUCCGGAUAAUCAAGGCUGAGGUGUGAUGACGAGGCACUACGGUGCUGAAGUAACAAAUGCCCUGCUUCCAGGAAAAGCCUCUAAGCAUCAGGUAACAUCAAAUCGUACCCCAAACCGACACAGGUGGUCAGGUAGAGAAUACCAAGGCGCUUGAGAGAACUCGGGUGAAGGAACUAGGCAAAAUGGUGCCGUAACUUCGGGAGAAGGCACGCUGGUGUGUAGGUGAAGUCCCUGCGGAUGGAGCUGAGACCAGUCGAAGAUACCAGCUGGCUGCAACUGUUUAUUAAAAACACAGCACUGUGCAAACACGAAAGUGGACGUAUACGGUGUGACGCCUGCCCGGUGCCGGAAGGUUAAUUGAUGGGGUUAUCCGUAAGGAGAAGCUCUUGAUCGAAGCCCCGGUAAACGGCGGCCGUAACUAUAACGGUCCUAAGGUAGCGAAAUUCCUUGUCGGGU